AGUUCUAAGAGACGUCUCAAUCCAGAGGUUUGGAAAUUGAGCCUUUCAAGAAUCACAGCAUGUAGUUCUUGGGAAGGACGUAGAGAUGAUGCUGUCUAGAUUUCCCCAGCCUUCUCUUUGAACUUGACCUUCAACCGCUGGAUCUUGAACCAGAAAACAGUUGAAAGGACAUAGUGGAGACGGCGUGGGAUCAAGCAUGAAGACCGAGCUAUGUGUUGACGAGGACUUUCACCUGGGAAAAGAGCUCAUUCUUCCUAUCAUUUCCCUGAGAGGAACAUGGCUGAAACAACUUACCGUACAGACCACAGAAGUGAGACCAAAAACACUGAGAUGGGGAAGAGGUGUGGCAAAAUGGCUUUUUUUGUGGUGGAAGAUGAAUUGUCAUCUCAAGGGGGCAGAGGACUGCCUGUGAGCUUCCCUAACAUGGAGCCUGAAACUGGUGUUUGCACAGUCUUUGAGGAAAGGGUUUGCUCAGCAAAUUAACAGUGUGAACAAGACUGCAGGAGGGACCAUUUACCUACCUGAGAACAAACAGUUUUCUACCUCUUUAGCAGCACCACUUAUGCACAAUUUUCAUGUGCUAAUGGCAAGUGAUUAUUACCUAGUUAGUGAAUAUACUUGGAAGACAUAAAAUAGCCUUUACUAUCCCCUGGUUGAGACAACUCGCUAACUCAGACUUGCCGGGUGCUCUGAAUUAGAGAGGUGCGACAGGAAUGUCCUCUCGGAUUUUUGGCGUUGAGCAUGCAUGCAUGUGAGCAGGGUGCCAUUUCUUCAGAAGAAAAAUAAAUGACAACAUUCUGUUUUGGGGCUUGAAACUGCAUGAUUGAAAACAUAAAGGUGACAACUGUGAUAUGCUUUUUUAAUGAGGGCAGAGAUGUCAAGAGAAACCAGCCUUCUAGGAACAAAAGAAUACUCUGUCAGGUGCAGUGGACUUAAGAUCUUUUUCUCUCUUGGAAUAAUGUCCUUAAAAAUAAC